CAUAUAAGACUCAUCUAACCGCGUAAAUGGCCAGACAGUCCCAUAUUGACUCUCUCACAUUACCUCUCCAAAUUACUAUAAAUUCGAACAAAUAAUUAUUGUACAUCUCAAUCUAUUAUCAAAAACAAACUUGUUUGAACGCAUAAAUCCCAUAAAAAUAAAAGUGUUGGAAAUUUCUACCCUCACUUCAUUGGUGUUUAUAAAAAUCAAGUGUAAUUAUUAACAUCAGCCCUGGGCUGAAUGACUAGGGCUGAAUGAAUAGUUAUUAGCCCAGUGCAUUUUUCUUGUUUUGGUGAAUUCCACCCUAUUAAAAAAACUAAUUUUUUUUUUUUUUAUUCUGAGAGCAGCCCAGGCUAAAUGACUAUUUAUUCAGCCUGGGCAGCUAUCAAUCACGGCUCAAAAAUCAAACAUUGACAUUGGAAAACAUGUUUGGUUCGUCUACGUAUGCAAGAAGAUAAUUUUGGUGUAACAAAUUAACAAAAGGUAACGUCUGUGUGUGUAUUUGUCUAACCCCUUCUAAGGGGUGCUCACCAAAACCUAUCCUCAAGCUAUGUUAUACUUUAAAGGGUGAAAAGUUUGAUAGGGGAGCUGUAGAAAGUGGGGGACUCCAUGUCACCUGACCCACAGCACACUCUCCCCUUCCCCACGUAUAUAUAUAUAUACUCUCUCUCUCUCUCCAUGAAAUAGAAAUGGUUGAGGGGAAUGCUGUCUGGUUCGAGACCAUUUCUCAGAAGCAAAAACAGAGCAUCUUUCAAAUGAUCUCGGACCAGGCUUCAUUCCCCCCAACUCAUCAAUAACUCUGCCCACAUGCCGCAAUAAAUCCACCACUUUCCUACAUACCCUUCAUGCAUGAUUUACACAAGGCCAGAUAUCAAGAAUCCAGCAUUUUUUUUUCCGCUUUCAACAUGUAAGUUCUUGACUUCUUUUUUUCUAUAUUAUGCAUCGAUCUCUUCUUUUUCUCUAACGGAAAUGUGAAGCUGAAGAGGGAGGCAAGCUUUUGGAGCUAGUUUGCUGUCCGAACAGGUACAUAUCAUGGCCUACCUGUAUAAAGCAAAUUCAGGGAACAAUCUCUUUCAAUUGUUGAUGCCUAGAAGGCUACAAUUUACAAUGUGAUUUUCUUCCAAAAAAAAAUCCUUUGAAACUUUCAGCCGGAAUUGCACGUGAUUUUCAAUGUCAUUUUUCUCCUUGAUCAGAAGAAAGACUUUAUCAUGUAAAUUAGAUGAAAUUUAACGGUGGAUU
rnacentral:precursor_RNA from 1 species